ensembl:lncRNA
CUCAUCCAGCAACCUUGGUCUCUCUCUUUCUCCCUCAUCCAGCAAACCGUGGUCUCUCUCUCUCCCUCAUCCAGCAACCUUGGUCUCUCUCUCCCUCUCCAAAUCCCCCCUCACUCACUUUCUGUCCUGUUCUCUUCCUCUUUGUCUCCUACUUAUUGAAGGACUGUCUUUUUUCUUGUUUAUAUCUUUGGGUGUCUUUCUGACGUACCAACCUGUUCUUUUGUUCCUACACAUACGCAGAGAGCACUAAAAUAGCCUCCGUUUGUCUUUAACUAUGUGUGUUUGUGUCCCCAUCAGUGCUUUGUGUGUAUGGGUGUGUGUAUGGGUGUGUGAAUGCGUGUGUGUAUGCGUGUGUGUAUGGGUGUGUGUAUGGGUGUGUGUAUGCGUGUGUGUAUGGGUGUGUGUAUGGGUGUGCGCGCGUUCGUGCAUGCUAUAAUAUUGUAUGUGAGAGCAUGUGUGUGUACAUUGUGCUUGUGUUUUUCUGUGUCAGUCCCUGACCCCAACAGGAGUCCUGGCGGUGAGAACAGGGAUUCUAGCCAAUGCUCCUGCCUCCCUUUGGUCUCCGUGUCCUACAACAGUCAGAUGAGCAGAGCGGAGGAACAGAGGCAGGCUUCCACGGAGACCUGACAGGUGUGUUGCGUGUAUGUAUUUACUGCUCAGCCUGUUAAAUUGGCGUCUCACAGACCCGGCGUCCCUCAGAUCCUGAGUCGAUGAGAGAGAGCUCUGCCUGCUCUGAGCCUUCCAUCUCACUCUCACUUCAAAUUUCCAUUUUAGUCAUUUAACAGAUGCUCUUAUCCUCAGUGACUUACAGUAGUGACUGCAUUAUGUUUUCGUACUUGUUCAUUCUCAUUCUGUCCCCUGUGGGAAUUGAAACCACAACGCUGGCAUUGCAAGCACUAUUCUCUACCAACUAAGACAUAACAAGUUGUGAUAUGUAUAUUUAAUAAUAGAAAAUACCAUAAAAAUUCAUAUUGUAUGUUCUGUAAUGCCUAAUAUGUACAUGAAACGCGAGUUGCAUCAUCAUUUUUGAAAUGACCUCCACGACUGCGUCUCGUCUCAACGCCGCACAUCUACGGUGGUACUUUUUGAAAUGGGAGAAGACUGACUCAUUGAAAUGGUCCCUGUUCAUCCCAAGGCAUAUGCAUUUCAACCCAUUCGUUGCGGUGGUCCAAUCGCUGUUUCCGUUUAAACCAGGAAAUAUAGUUUUGCCCAUAGAGAUUAGUUAGCCCCAGAGGUGACAAAAUAGUUAACUAACCAGUUGUUUAAAAGCACUAAAGUAUAUCUCUGGCUGCUGCGAUUGAAUUAUACAGAUCCUGACGCAAUCCACAAUGCCCAUUUGCUGGCUACAAGACCACGCGUUUAUUCCGAAGUUGCAGCCAAUCUGAAAACAUUGUUUGCAUCCCAGAGGCAUUGAACUUUCUCUUCUAAUUCUCGUCAAUGAAGUGUGCACUGGAAAUCCAGAAUCCAGGGCAACAGAUGGACUUUGGCGCUUCGUAGCUACAAGCCAUUGUCCCGACACUGAUUGCCAUUGACCAUGGUCGUGACGCUCAAGAUGGCUGUGCCCUAUCGGUCAACUGGAAUGUGCACGUCAUUUUUAGUUACCACUGGCCGUUUUGGAUUUUGAGCUGUUGGAACAUGCUUCGUAAAAUCCCAUACUGCAUAAAUCAAUGCAGUUCCACUUUAACAACCCCACCAGCUCCUGACCUAUUUGUGGGAGGUGAUUGGUGAAUGGAAGGAACGGAUCCAGGGAAGAUAGGAGGAAGUGAGAUGGGAGGAGAGCACAGAGAGGUGUGUUGACGGGGAAGGGAGGAGCUCAGGGAAGAGAGGAGGAAGUGAGAUGGGAGGAGAGCACAGAGAGGUGUGUUGACGGGGAAGGGAGGAGCUCAGGGAAGAGAGGAGGAAGUGAGAUGGGAGGAGAGCACAGAGAGGUGUGUAGACGGGGAAGGGAGGAGCUCAGGCAGUGGGUGGUGUUUUGAUCAGCGGCCAGAUUUCCAACCCUGCGUUUCAGUCUGCACAGAGGAGGUGGAGAAGAGAAGAGGGAGAUGGAGGGAGGAGAGGGCUGUUGAAUCCCAGGUGAACCCCCACUGACGCCAUUCCACCAUCAGCCCUCCAUUUGUGCAUUCAUGUGGGCUUCAGCCGUUUGCACAAGUGUCUCGAUCGCUGAUGGAGCAAAAAUGCUCAAGGGUGGCGAGGCUAAUUAGACCCUCCGCUGGCCCCUUUGAGCGAGUGUUCAACGAUGCAGCCUCUGGUAGCGAAGUGGAAUCCCAUAAGGCGCCGCAGUUUUUGGAGGUUGCAUAGUUUCACAGAAAAUAAAAGAUAGGCAUACCUAAUGAUAUUACGUGUGGAUUUGUUCAUGUCUGAUUUGGAGACUUGAGACAUACAAAACAAAAUACCUCCUAAAUUAAACAUUCAAUUAUUCACAGUUUCUUUUUGCCAAACCUCGGAAGUGGAGCAGGGCCAAGACGACCGACUACCCCUUGUUAAAUAGCGUAGUGGUUAGAGACGCGGCCUGCCAUGCAUCCUGGUCGAUGUUCGAGCCUCGCCGCAUGAAAAACAAAUGACACAUUAGGACUGGUUCAGGAUAGACAAAAAUGUCGCUGGCUACAAACUUCUGUAGUUACUUUAUAGUAUGCCUAAAAUAAAACUGUUUACGGUUAUAUUGCAACUAUUUCUGGUUCCGUGCAUUGUUUUUGGGUAAUAGCCUAUAGAUCACAACCCCUUGCGCAGUAAAAGAGGAGGGGUAUCUACGAUUCUCUCGUCUUUUCUCUUGACAAAAUAGUUAUCUUCACCUAUAUUGAUUGUUAUUAUAUCAAUGUAAUUCACGAAUGAUAGAAUAAUGAACGUUGUUGUGCCAUGAAAUGAAAUAGCUUUGGCAGUGUUCAUCUUCAGUCUCGCAAAAAAUUACUCAAUUCUUAUGACUAUUCCAAGUAGCAAAUAGAUACCAGUAGGCCUAUUACUGGCUAUUAAAAGCCAUACAUUUCAUAGAUACUAUUUGUGGUGGAAGUAAAUGUAAUAAGUUAAGUUAGUCAGUUUAACACAAUGAUUAAUGGUGUGUAGCUAAAUAUUCAAACUUGGCGUGAUGUUAAUGCGUGACCUUAUGUGUGCAAUUUUCUGACGAGGUAGUACUUCCCAGUCCGUCCCAAUACUGACAUACUAGCUAACUAUAUAAAAAACACGAUGUAUUUCACCACCAUCCGCGAAGUACGUACUUGUAAUAUGUAUGUAAUAUGUAAUAUGUAGUAUGUGAUUUGAGAUUCAGCCAAUGCUUUCAAUUUCCUUGUAGUUCACAUAGCGUAAUGGUUAGCUAUUCAACUGUUAUUGUAUGGAUGACCAUUAACAGUAAUCUUUGUACAAGAGGACACUUCAAUUCCGUUAACAAAUGUUUUGUUGUCCACGUUAUUUUAGCAAAAAUUUAAUGGCUGAGGUAAAAGUUACAUUCCUGCUGUUUAAAUAGCGUAAUGGUUAAAGAGACAGUUUGCCACAUAGAAUACCGCAGAUUGAAACCAGACAGGGACAACAACAUUCAUCCCUUCUAAUUGAAGGCCGGCUGAACUAGGCUUGCCUGGUUCCUUUUAUGGUUAAACAAUAGGAGGGAUUUGUAAAUUGUUAUAUUCUUUAAAAGUGGACCAUGAAUUGCAUCAUUCAAGUCUUAAAAAGCAGAAAGAGGGGGCUGACUGACUGCUGAUUGUUUCAUUGACUUGUGGAUGCUGGGAUAGAGUAAAGGGGUAUAGAGUAGAAUGGUUGAGAGACGGGAGGGGUCGAGGGGGGAUAGAGUGGGGGGGGGGGUAGAAGGGGUGAGAGACGGGUGGGGUCAAGG